CAAAAGGCUCUUUUAAGAGCCACUACAUGUGCAAAAAAGGAGCUGU
rfam:Tinamus guttatus contig66637, whole genome shotgun sequence.